CGCGGUAGCUCAGUUGGUUAGAGCGCUAGAUUGUGGAUCUAGAGGUCCGGGGUUCGAGACCCUGCC
rnacentral:tRNA from 1 species